rnacentral:tRNA from 1 species
GGGGGUAUAGCUCAGUGAUAGAGCUGCUGUUUAGCAUGCACAAGGUCCUGGGUUCAAUCCCCAGUACCUCCU